CCUGUCUGUCAGCCGAGCCGUAGAACAAGAUGGCGGACUCCUUAGCAGCGGCUCAGGGAGAGGAGAACGAACCGGAGAAAGAAGGCAAGGAGAGACGGAUGGAGGGAGGUAGUGAGAGCCGGGGGUCGAAGGAGACCUCCGAGGUGACGGAGACGCUGGGGUUUUACGACAAGAAGAAAGCCCAGAAGGACAAGAAACGGAGUCUGUCUGAUCUGUCCCUAGCGAGGUUCAUGGGGGCGGAGCUGACCCGAGGAUACUUCCUGGAACACAAUGAGGCUAAAUACACAGAGAGACGAGAGAGGGUCUAUACCUGCCUCCGGAUCCCCAAGGAACUAGAGAAGUUGAUGCUGUUUGGGUUCUUCCUGUGUCUGGAUGCCUUCCUGUACGUGUUCACCCUGCUGCCUCUCAGAGUCCUACUGGCCCUCGUCCACCUACUGACCCUACCCUGCUGUGGUCUGAGUGGGUCUCCUCUCCUCCAGCCAGCCCAGGUCUGUGAUGUGUUGAAGGGUGUCAUCGUGGUGUUGUGUUACGUCAUGAUGAGCUACGUGGACUACAGCAUGAUGUAUCACCUUAUCAGAGGACAGUCCGUCAUCAAACUCUAUAUUAUCUACAACAUGCUGGAGGUUGCAGACAGGCUGUUCUCUUCGUUUGGUCAGGACAUUCUGGACGCUCUCUACUGGACUGCUACAGAACCUAAAGAGAAGAAGAGAGCUCAUAUAGGAGUGGUUCCUCACUUCCUCAUGGCUGUUCUAUAUGUCUGUAUCCUUACUGAACCUAAAGAGAAGAAGAGAGCUCAUAUAGGAGUGGUUCCUCACUUCCUCAUGGCUGUUCUAUAUGUCUGUAUCCUUACUGAACCUAAAGAGAAGAAGAGAGCUCAUAUAGGAGUUGUUCCUCACUUCCUGUCUUUCUUCAUGCUAUCCUCAUCAUGGUCCAGGCCACUACCCUGAACGUUGCCUUCAACUCUCACAACAAGUCUCUCCUCACCAUCAUGAUGUCAAACAACUUCGUGGAGAUCAAAGGAAGUGUGUUUAAGAAGUUUGAGAAGAACAACCUCUUUCAGAUGUCUAACAGUGACAUAAAGGAGAGGUUCACUAACUAUGUUCUGUUACUCAUUGUCUGUCUACGGAACAUGGAGCAGUUCUCAUG